rnacentral:rRNA from 1 species
UAUUGCACAAUGGGGGAAACCCUGAUGCAGCAACGCCGCGUGAGUGAAGAAGUAUUUCGGUAUGUAAAGCUCUAUCAGCAGGGAAGAAAAUGACGGUACCUGACUAAGAAGCCCCGGCUAACUACGUGCCAGCAGCCGCGGUAAUACGUAGGUGGCAAGCGUUGUCCGGAAUUACUGGGUGUAAAGGGCGUGUAGGCGGAGCUGCAAGUCAGAUGUGAAAUCUCCGGGCUUAACCCGGAAACUGCAUUUGAAACUGUAGCCCUUGAGUAUCGGAGAGGCAAGCGGAAUUCCUAGUGUAGCGGUGAAAUGCGUAGAUAUUAGGAGGAACACCAGUGGCGAAGGCGGCUUGCUGGACGACAACUGACGCUGAGGCGCGAAAGCGUGGGGAGCAA